rnacentral:rRNA from 1 species
ACUCAAAUGAAUAGACGGGGACCCGCACAACUGGUGGAGCGUGUGGUUUAAUUCGAGACGAAGCGAAAAACCUUACCAGGGUUUGACAUGUAACCGUUUAUUUCUCUGGAAACAGAGAGAAAUCCGCAAGGAUGGUUAUGCAGGUGAUGCAUGGCUGUCGUCAGCUCGUGCCGUGAGGUGUUCCCUUAAGUGGGGAAACGAGCGCAACCCGCAUCUAAUGUUAAAUAUUCAUUAGGAACUGCCCCGAUUUAAUCGGGGAGGAAGGCGCGGAAGACGUCAAGUCAGCACGUCCCUUAUACCCUGGGUCACACACACCCUACAAUGGCGAAUAACAAUGGGCCGCAAGCCGGUAACGGCAAGCUAAUCCCAGAAAUUUCGUCUCAGUUCAGAUUGAGGUCUGCAACCCGACCUCAUGAAGUCGGAAUCAGUAGUAAUCGCGGAUCAGAAGGCCGCGGUGAAUACGUUCUCGGGUCUUGUACACACCGCCCGU